UCACCAAGCCUCGCUUUUCUCUCCGAUCACCAAGCCAUCGCUGUCACCAAGCCUCGCUUUUCUCUCCGAUCAACAAGCCGCUGUUCGAAUCACCAAGCCUCUGCCGAUUCACCCUCACCCAUCUCCAAAUCCGUUUUCACUGUCACCAAGCCUCGCUAUUCUCUCCGAUCACCAAGCCGCUGUCACCAAGCCUCGCUUUUCUCUCCGAUCAAGAAGCCGCUGUCCAAAUCACCAAGCCUCUGCCUCUGCCGAUCCACCCUCACCCAUCUCCAAAUCCGUUUCACUGUCACCGAGCUUCGCUUUUCUCUCCGAUCACCAAGCCGCUGUCACCAAGCCUCGCUUUUCUCUCCGAUCACCAAGCCGCUGUCCGAAUCACCAAGCCUCUGCCUCUGCCUCUGCCUCUGCCUCUGCCGAUUCACCGAAGCUUCGUCGGUCUCUCAAAUAAAAUCAAAAUCAAAAUCAAAGCAAUUUACUAGAGGUGGGAUUCAGCUUCAUUACGAGGGUUUUCGCUUGCUGUCGGAUUAGCAUCUUCAGAAAGUCUGCUCAGGUUCAACUCUAUGAUUUUGUUUGAUUUCUAUAUAUUUUUGCAGAGAAUAUAUAUUAUAUCCGAAGUGGCUGUGUAAAGGGCUUAUAUUUUGUAACAAAAAAUUACUGUGUAAAGGGCUUAUAUCCGAAGUUGUUUGAGAAUUUUGUAAUAUAUGAUGUGCUGAAAUGGUGUUGUUUGGAUUCAUUGUUCCGGUUCAAGGUACAAUAAGGAUUAGGGAAGCCUAGUAGGAUUUAGAUUAAGGCGUUGAGGAAGUGCUUGACAAAGUCUCUGUGAAUCUCAUCUAGUUAUUGAUAAUGUGUCUAUUAAUUACCUGAUGAAGUUUUAGUUUCUAUAAUAUCUCGCUUGACUUUGAAAGAAGCAGGAAGAAGUAGCAUUAUUUAAGAUGGAAAAGGAUGUCAAGAUUUUAGUGUAGAAAAAGGCAAAAGGCAAUAUUUGUCUAAGUGAAGCAAGGCCUCAAAUUCUAAAUAUAGUUAUUAUACUAAGAAUGAACUCAAAUCAUACGUGUCUAAUACCCUGGAAUUUUAUAUUAAAGUCUUUGUGGCUCUACAAAUGUGUGCUACAUGAGAAAAAAUUAAUCAACAAUAAGCUUUACAACAAGCUAGGCACAGUUUGAAUUGAUGCUGGAGUGCUCUUGCACAUGUUAAUGUUAUGAGCUUAUUUUCGUUGUUUAAUUGAGAUAGGUUGUUGCCUUUUCUCACAGUUAUGAGCUCCGAAAUUUUCUUCGUCUACUCUCUCUCUCACAGUAUGGAUAUAUUUUUCACAAUUUCCUCCAACAGACUUUCAAUAAAAAUUUCAAUUGAAGCGUUGUUGAUGCAAAUGGAACCAUAAUCUUUUUCACUAAUUAUUAUUUAAUUAUAUUUUUCAUAUUAGUGCUUUUAUUUUUUUGGAUUGGUUAGUUACACACCCACCCAAUGGGUCUUGAACCCUUGACCUCACCCUCCACCUACCAUCCAACACUUGUAAGGGGAGGAAGUGACAAUUGUGCUGGAGCUCACUGUCAAUUUUUUCCCCCCCAUAUUUUAUAUUUCACGUCUUAGUGACCUUUGUUAGGCAUCAUCUGUGGUGAGAUGACUGGAUUUAGUGGUUUUAUUGGACUUUGGGAAAUGAUGCCAAAACUUAAAGAGUGACUGAAGCAUAAGCUCUGCUGAAUAUUAUUUGCAUGUCAGUCUGAUCCCAAAUUCUCUGUGGUUCUUUUAUAUUGAUAUACAUACAUAUAUAUUUUUAUUUUUUAUGAUAAUCUUUUGUGAAUAGUGACAAGAUUGGUAGUCUCUUCUAUGUUCUUGUUUGUGUUAAUGGGUUGUUGUGGUAAACUUACAUCAUUUGACUUUUGUAAUUUGUUGUUUAUUUCGGACUUUGGGAAGUGAUGAGAAGAUAAAAACUGAUUGGAAAAGUCACCAGCAAUGCUGAAAUUAUUCAUUUGCACGUCAGUCUGAUCCCAGGUUUCAAUGUUUAUGACUUAUCUAUUCCAUAUUAGUGUCUAUUUUUGUACUUUACUUCUUAGCAACAUUUGUUAGCUAUUCGACUAUCUGUGGUGAGAUGACUGGAUUUAGUGUUUUUAUUGGAGUUUGGGAAAUGAUGCCAAAACCAAAAAAUUGUGACUGAGGUGUAAGCUUUGCUUAUAAUAAGAUUGAUUAUAUGGAGUCUAUAUUGUUAUGCUGAAGGGUUUCAUUUUUGCUUAUAAUAAGAUUGAAAAACUUGUAUGCUGAAGGGUUUCAGGAUAAUGGAGUCUAUAUUGUCAGCUUGAGCUUAAAAUCUUCUCUCUGACUCUCUUAAAUUCUUUUCUGGUCAUUAUAUUGAGAAUAAACUUAAUUGAUUUUUCUUUUAUUCGUAAUUGCUAGAUUUGAAGUGCUCCAAAUGUUUGGUACCAUGCCUUUGUGUAUGUAUACCCAAUCCAUAAGCCUUGGGGAUGUACGUUUAAAUUUAGAUCCAAUCCAUAUAUAUGUGGAUUAUAAAAGUUGGUAGGUUGAGUACAUUGUUAUUUGGCAGGUUGCAUGUAUAUAUAUGUAUGUGAAAUUUAAAAAUUGGCAGGUUGAAUAUAUUGAUAUUUGGCA